GAUGAAGAACGCAGCGAAAUGCGAUAAGUAAUGUGAAUUGCAGAAUUCAGUGAAUCAUCGAAUCUUUGAACGCACAUUGCGCCCUCUGGUAUUCCGGGGGGCAUGCCUGUUCGAGCGUCAUUAUAACCACUCAAGCUCUCGCUUGGUAUUGGGGUUCGCGGUUCCGCGGCCCCUAAAAUCAGUGGCGGUGCCUGUCGGCUCUACGCGUAGUAAUACUCCUCGCGUCUGGGUCCGGUAGGUCUACUUGCCAGCAACCCCCAAUUUUUACAGGUUGACCUCGGAUCAGGUAGGGAUACCCGCUGAACUUAAGCAUAUUAAUAAGCGGAGGA
rnacentral:misc_RNA from 1 species